rnacentral:rRNA from 1 species
GAUGAACGCUGACAGAAUGCUUAACACAUGCAAGUCAACUUGAACUUCGGUUUGGGUGGCGGACGGGUGAGUAACGCGUAAAGAACUUGCCUCACAGCUAGGGACAACAUUUGGAAACGAAUGCUAAUACCUGAUAUUAUGAUUUUAGGGCAUCCUAGAAUUAUGAAAGCUAUAUGCGCUGUGAGAGAGCUUUGCGUCCCAUUAGCUAGUUGGAGAGGUAACGGCUCACCAAGGCGAUGAUGGGUAGCCGGCCUGAGAGGGUGAACGGCCACAAGGGGACUGAGACACGGCCCUUACUCCUACGGGAGGCAGCAGCGGGGAAUAUUGGACAAUGGACCAAGAGUCUGAUCCAGCAAUUCUGUGUGCACGAUGAAGUUUUUCGGAAUGUAAAGUGCUUUCAGUUGGGAAGAAAAAAAUGACGGUACCAACAGAAGAAGUGACGGCUAAAUACGUG